UACGUAGGGUGCGAGCGUUGUUCGGAAUUACUGGGCGUAAAGGGCGCGUAGGCGGCCUUCUAAGUCGAACGUGAAAUCCCCGGGCUCAACCCGGGAACUGCGUCCGAUACUGGAAGGCUUGAAUCCGGGAGAGGGAUGCGGAAUUCCAGGUGUAGCGGUGAAAUGCGUAGAUAUGCGGAGGAACACCGAUGGCGAAGGCAAUCCCCUGGACCUGUACUGACGCUCAUGCACGAAAGCGUGGGGAGCAAACAGG
rnacentral:rRNA from 1 species